GAUGAACGCUGGCGGCGUGCCUAAUACAUGCAAGUCGAGCGACCAGACGAGGAGCUUGCUCCUCUGACGUUAGCGGCGGACGGGUGAGUAACACGUGGAUAACCUACCUAUAAGACUGGGAUAACUUCGGGAAACCGGAGCUAAUACCGGAUAAUAUAUUUAACCGCAUGGUUCAAUAGUGAAAGACGGUUUUGCUGUCACUUAUAGAUGGAUCCGCGCCGCAUUAGCUAGUUGGUAAGGUAACGGCUUACCAAGGCGACGAUGCGUAGCCGACCUGAGAGGGUGAUCGGCCACACUGGAACUGAGACACGGUCCAGACUCCUACGGGAGGCAGCAGUAGGGAAUCUUCCGCAAUGGGCGAAAGCUUGACGGAGCAACGCCGCGUGAGUGAUGAAGGUCUUCGGAUCGUAAAACUCUGUUAUUAGGGAAGAACAAAUGUGUAAGUAAAUAUGCACGUCUUGACGGUACCUAAUCAGAAAGCCACGGCUAACUACGUG
rnacentral:rRNA from 1 species